AAGACGAAAUCAAAAGGCGACAAUUCUAAAAAAUCGGAGGCAGCAUUAAAAGAUACCAAACAGAAAAAACCCAAAACCGGAGAAUCAAAGAUAAACCUGGUUUGAAGAGUUGAAAGAGUUGGAAGCUUCACCAUUGCCGUCUUUACCGCCGGAGGUGAGCGCUUUUUUUGCUUCAGCCAUUGAUUUCUUUUAUGAUUUGGAAGCGAUUAAGAAAAAACGCACGUUUGAGAGAGGGUUAUGAUGUGAGAGACGUGAGUUGGAGAGAACGAUUUUGUGAAGUGAAAUUGUGAGAGAGAGCCUGAGAGGUGAUGAAUGAGGACGGAGAGAGUAAAGGUUUAGGGACGAGCGAUUUUGAGUGAGCGGGAGAGAAGCGAGAGUGACGAGAAGUGAGAUUGAGGGAGUGAGAACGAUGAGUUUACUAUUCCUCCCAUUUUUUUUUCUUUUCUUUUAUUUAUUUAAACCACAUAAAAGCCAUUUAAAAAAUUUAUACUUGUAGUCUUUCUUUGUUUUUUUAGUUAAUAGUGUACAUUAAUGUCUUGUUUGUUUGUCUUUUUUUAUUUAAUAGUGUACAUUAAUGUUUUGUUUAUUUGUCUUCCCUAUUAAUUUACUAUUUAUUAGUCUAUAGAACCCAACAGCCAAGCGGCUGGGUUUCUUUUGG
rnacentral:lncRNA from 1 species